GAACUUAACCUAACAUACGUGUAUUAUUCACUGCAUUUAUACAAGCUGAUACGUCCGAAAUCUCGAGCGAAUGGAGAUUUGUAUUCAAAUAUUGUUGAAAAUAUUGUGGGUCUGCAGAACAGCAUAAAAUUAUCGAUAUUAUAUAGUCUGUUCUUUUCAUCUGUACUAGUUCAUGCACUAGGACUGAUGUAGUACAGGCGCGGGCAACAUGAGUGCAAGAGUACUAUUACAGUGAAAAGAACGCAAUGGUGCAGUAUUCAAUAGUAUUCAAUAUGGCGCACAACAGACACAAUAGGCCUGUUAUACAAUAUGUUAGUUGAACUAGAACUUGAGUCUUCAGAUGAAGAUUUUGAUUUAAUACCACCAUUACCACCACCACUUCUGGUUGAAGAUAAUAAUGAUCAUAAUGAAUUAUAAAUAUUUCAUCCAGUUUUUGGAAUGAUUCAACGAAUAGAACACGUAAAAAUAAAUAAUUAUGUGGAAAACAUAGUCUAAAAUUAUAACAACAUCGAUUUCAUUAUGCACUUUCAUUUAUCAAGAGAAGUAGCAUACGAUUUAAUAAACCAAUUCCGUGUAUCUGAGAUAUUUACUUCCUUACAAGAAGGAGGACGUUUAAAAGUUACUGCAGAAAAACAAAUUUUAUGUUACCUGUGGUUUUUAGGCCAUGAAAGUGCUGGUUAUCGUGAUGUGGCUGACAGAUUUGGAAUAACUAUUAGUGUUUUGCAUAAAGUUAUUACCAGAGUAACUGAUUUUAUUAUGUAUUUAGCACCCAAUAUUAUUCGAUAUCCAACUGCGGAUGAAAAAAAAGAAACAGCUUCUCAUUAUCGCAAUGAGAAAAAGUUCCCUGGUGUAAUUGGUGCCAUAGACGGAUCCCACAUUAGAAUUGACAAACCUACAGAAGAUCCCAACUCAUAUAUUAAUCGGAAACAAUACUUUUCAUUGCAUAUCCAAGGCCAACCACAAUAUGAAAUUUUUUGAUGUAUUUGUUGGAUAUCCUGGCUCCGUCCAUGACGCGAGAGUAUUUAAAAAUUCACCAGUUCGUAAUGAUCUUCAUGAACUUUGCAGAGAUAAUUACUAUUUAUUAGGAGACAGUGCGUACCCUUGCUUAAAACAACUAAUUGUCCCAUUUAGGGAUAAUGGGCACUUGACACGUGCACAAAGAAAUUUCAAUCAAAAAUUAAGUUCUUGUCGCGUAAUUAUAGAGAAUGCUUUUGGUUGUCUAAAACAACGUUUACGGUUUAGGCAGUUAUAUCACUUCAAGUUACGUGAUAUAGUAAGAAUAGUUCACGUUAUACAUGCUUGUUAUGUACUUCAUAAUAUGGCGAACGCAGGAGAAAUAAAAUAUUUUGAAGCUUCCAUGGAGGAUGAAUAUCCAGAUAUUGAAGUACAAGAUUUACACAUUGAACAACGCAUUGAUGAAGUACUAAGAGAAAAUGAAACCAGAAUAUAUAUUCGCAAUGAAAUAUGUCGCCAAUUAAAUGUUCAAUAAAUACAAUUAUAUAUGCAUACAUAAAUACAACU